AAGUCGUAACAAGGUUUCCGUAGGUGAACCUGCGGAAGGAUCAUUCAUAAUAAGUGUUUUAUGGCACUUUUUUAAAUCCAUAUCCACCUUGUGUGCAAUGUCAGGGUUGGUCUCUCUUUUGAGAGAUCAGCCCCAAACAUCAACUCUAUUUUAACUCUUUGUCUGAAAAAUAUUAUGAAUAAAACAAUUCAAAAUACAACUUUCAACAACGGAUCUCUUGGCUCUCGCAUCGAUGAAGAACGCAGCGAAAUGCGAUACGUAAUGUGAAUUGCAGAAUUCAGUGAAUCAUCGAAUCUUUGAACGCAUAUUGCGCUCUUUGGUAUUCCGAAGAGCAUGCUUGUUUGAGUAUCAGUAAACACCUCAAAGCCUUUUUUCUUUUUUGAAGAAAGGCUUUGGACUUGAGCAAUCCCAACACCAAUCUUUUAAAGAGAGGGGGGCGGGUUGCUUGAAAUGCAGGUGCAGCUGGACAUUCUCCUGAGCUAAAAGCAUAUUCAUUUAGUCCGUCAAACGGAUUAUUACUUUUGCUGCAGCUAACAUAAAGGGAGUUUGACCAUUUUGGCUGACUGAUGCAGGAUUUUCACAAGAGUCUUCAAAACCCUUGUUAAACUCGAUCUCAAAUCAAGUAAGACUACCCGCUGAACUUAA
rnacentral:rRNA from 1 species